rnacentral:rRNA from 1 species
AAGGCCUUCGGGUCGUAAAGCUCUGUCCUAAGGGAAGAAGAAUGACGGUACCUUAGGAGGAAGCCCCGGCUAACUACGUGCCAGCAGCCGCGGUAAUACGUAGGGGGCGAGCGUUAUCCGGAAUCACUGGGCGUAAAGGGUGAGUAGGCGGCCAAAUAAGCCAGAGGUGAAAGGCUACGGCUUAACCGUAGUAAGCCUUUGGAACUGUAUGGCUUGAGUGCAGGAGAGGAGAGUGGAAUUCCUAGUGUAGCGGUGGAAUGCGUAGAUAUUAGGAGGAACACCAGUGGCGAAGGCGACUCUCUGGACUGCAACUGACGCUGAGGCACGAAAGCGUGGGGAGCAAACAGGAUUAGAUACCCUGGUAGUCCACGCCGUAAACGAUGAGUGCUAGGUGUCGGGGGUUCACACCCUCGGUGCCGGAGUUAACGCAAUAAGCACUCCGCUGGGGAG